UGGAGGAGGAGGAAUUUGAACCCACGAAGGACAUUAAAGCCCUUAACGGUUUUCAAGACCGCCGCAAUAGGCCACUCUGCCACCCCUCC
rnacentral:tRNA from 1 species